AAAGAGGUGGAGCCAGUCAUCCAAUACAUGGCAAUUUCUCAGAGGGAGAGCCUUAAUGCUGUGUUCCUAGAUGUCACAGCUCUCUGGAUAAAGGGAAAAUAUAGUCCUGUUCCAGUCCUGAUGGUGCCAUACCCUGCAUCCAGGAUGACUAUGAGAAUGAUAAAUAAGAAGGGAAGUCAAGAGCAAAGAGUGAGGAGGGAUGGUUACCUAUUGGAGGAGAGGAAAAGUUCCCUAAAGAUUCCACAGUGACAACUGGGAAGCUUACAUGAAGCAGAACUGAGUUCCUGUGGUUAGUUAUAUGCGGUAUCAGAAACAGAAUUCCAUGGAGAUAAAAACAUGAAUUAAGCACAGACCCUGCACUCAAUGAACUUCAGGUCUAAUGGGAGAUAUGGACAAGUGCAUAUUGUUUAUAUUCAUGGAAGCAAAGAAGGAGAAGGAGAAGAAGAAGAAGGAAAAAAAAGGAAGAGGAGGAGGAGGAGAGUCUGGCAUCCAUCCUUCCAAAACAGUUACCGUUAUGCCUCCUGGCCUAUGAAAACCAGAUCUCAGGGUCAAAAGGAGUCUGAGAUCAUUUAGAUCCUCCCUACCAUCAGACUGAUGCCAAUUCAGUCACCUCAAACAGGUAAGACGUUC